ensembl:lncRNA
AUGGGUUUGAUCUCUGGUCAGGGAACUAAGAUCCGUGAACUCCCAGCUGCCCACAAGGAAGGUGCUACUGCAGCCCCCACUGCCACGAACGGAGAAGCAGGCUCAGAGACCACGAGCCCCUGGCCACACCUGCUGCCUAGCGGAGGCCCCAGAACCAAACUGGCCCUGAGCCCUGGGGUCCAUCCUCCAGCUCCUGGUGGAGGCAGAUGGCCGCCCGACCCUGGGGUCCCAGCCCCAAGUCCUCCAGGCCCUGCCACCUGCAGCCGUGGCCGGCCUCUCCUGCUACUCUGGCUUUCUCCUGGAGGGCUGGGAGGGGCCCCUGCCUUGUGCACCGCCCCUCCUGUUCAGGAGCAGGAGCCGGACCCAGGGCCCUGCCCUUGCGAGCCACAGUCUCCUGCCUCUCCCAGCCAUGCCCUGCCUCCUUUUCUGCACUGCCUUCCCAAGAUCCCUGCGGGGCUGCCCCUUCCCUGCCUCAGACUCCACACCUGCCCCCUCCUCCCACCUGCCACAACCCUCUGCAUGGCCAUUUCUGCUUCCUGCCCGCACCCAAGCAGACCCUCAGGCACACUGACCUCAGGGGUGGUGAAAGUGGGCAGCGGCCCGCAUGCCCUGAUGCCGGUGAGAGCAGCCAGAGCCACUCCUGUUCAGCCAGAAGCUGCAUCUGAGGCUGCCUUUCAGGCCUGUGGGGGACACAGCUUUCUUGGGGGGCGCCCACGAUGUGCCUGCAGGGACCACUGAGCCCAGGGAGAGUGGAUGGCCCACAGCAGUGAUGGACACGGGGCACAUGGCUGGUGUCCACACUGCCCACUGUUUUAGAAAUUAUGCAGGAUCUGAACAGCAUUCAGAGUGACUCAGAGACAGGACCUUCUCUUGUUCACAGAGAAAAAGUAAAAUAUUAACUUUUGGCAUUAGAAAAAUUCUAGCAUUCCUUAAGAAGCCUGGACUGCAGGUGCAACCCGUCUGGUGACCUUGUGGCAGGGUCUGGUCUCUUCCUGAAAGAACCAACACAUUCCAGUCUUCUUGGGCCCAUCUCUGUAGAGGGCUGUUAGGGAGGCAGGACUGAAGCCCCAAGACGUAUUCUGGGUACACAUGCAGGUCCAGCUGAAGGGCUGGGGCUCCUCCCAGGCCCUCCUUCCAGGGGGUGAGUCCUCCUGGGAGGGGGCUUCACCAGGAGGUGACAGCAGAGCUGGCCGGGUGGGGUGGGGGCUCUGUCCUAGGUCCAGGCCCGCCCUGCGCUGUGGGGAGACAGGGGUGAGCUUCUCCAGGCCUCCUUGCCCGCCAGCCCAGCCUUGGUCUGCAGGGCAGUUCUCUGCAGGCGAUUCCAGGUCCUUAGGGCCAUGCUCCAAGGUGGGGACGGGUGAGGGGUGUUGGCGCAUCAGAGGCGGGAGCCUGCGGCCUGGGUGCCCUGGACUGGUCCUGAGAAUGCAGGGAAUACAUGUGGGACAGGGACGUGUGGAGGGCUGGUCAGUUCCUCCCAUGCCUCCAUCCAGUGGUCUCCCACCUCAAAUACAGAAGGGCAGGGGUGCAGACCCCCUGUCCUCAGGGCACUCACAGGGCAGCAGGAAGGAGGCCCAGACAAAGCUGAGUCCGAAAGCAGGCAUGGGGCGUGUAGGAGAAACUGACCACGGGAAGCAGCGGGACGGGAAGGCAGCAGAAACCGCAGAUGCGGCAGGAGGGAGGAGGAUGCCAGGAUGGAGCAUGGGCCGGGCGCGGAAGGAAGGCUGGGGGAGAGGCAGGC